AUGGUAGCAGGACCUGACAAGCAUGAUGGGUUUCGUGAUGUUCGCACCAACUACAACUAUACGGAGCCAACUCUAGCAGGCAACGCAGGGUUGGUUGCUGCACUCGUGGCAUUGUCUGGUGACAAGGCAACCGUGAUUGACAAGAAUACUAUUUUUUCUGCAGUUCCACCAAUGUUUCCUACACCACCACCACCUCCGGCACCUUGGAAACCAUGAAAACGUUUUGAUCUUUCUUCUGUCCAUGUGUGACUUACAGUCUGAUGAUUUUGGAAUUAGUUUUUGGUACGUAAAUGACCUUGGAAGUGUAAGUAACGCAAAAAGGCAAGACAGGAGAUGAGUGAUAUGAGACAACCUGGACAAAACUCGUGGUGUUUGGCUGUCAGAUUGGAGAGUCAGAGAAGCAUUCAAACAUUGAUAAUUUGUAUAUGAAGUCUAUUUGGAUUUUGUGGUAUACAGACAGACGGAGUGCAUGUAUGAUAUUAAUGUUGUAUUAUUUGAAACACACCAAUAUCCAUUGACAAUAAAUUUGUGUUUAAUUGUUGCAGA
rnacentral:lncRNA from 1 species